rnacentral:lncRNA from 1 species
UGUGCCCUGUACAUGCCAUAAAAAGAAUAACAAAAUGAGUUUCUACCCUGAAGACCGAGUCUUCUAUAGAUGAACGGCAGCAGUUGUAAACGGACCCUCUACGGACCAAUCUCAAAACCUGCGAGUUAAACAGGUAACUCGCUGAGCAAAUAAAGCUCAGUGGAUAUCUCAACAUAAAACAACAAUAAGCACACAUAUAAGCAAAAAGCAUUAUGUAAGCACAUAUAAUCACACAUAACAUGCGGCUUUCAUUUUACCUUAAUGAUCUUUCUUACUGUUUAUUUUACUGUAUGAUUCAUGCAAUAGCAAGUUAAAAUAUCUGUAUGGCUCCAUAAGGUUAUAGUGAAACCGAAGUGAUAAGAUAAACUGUAUGAAACUGUAUGAAUACUGUAUGCUUGGCUGCUAUGGCCUGUAUAAUCAUAUCCACUCAACGGCCUGUAGCCGGAGUAACA